AGCUCCUGACCCUACACAGGACACCCCAAUAAUCCUACUAGGUGCCUGAGAACGCUGUGAAACUGCUUGUUUGUUCUGAAAUGGGAAUAAAUUAAGAAGUUUUAUGCACUCCUGGCACCAACAGUGACAUAGUAAUUCAAGUAGUAAUUCAAGAAAAAUACUUCCCAUUGGCAAGGAGAUGAGAAUCAUCUGUCUAAACCCACAUAUUUAGUAUAUUCUUUCCUGGGACACCACAAACAGAACAUGAAAAGGGUUUUCUCUUCCAGCUGACAGAUGCAGAGUUCUACCCCGUGUGUGCUUUGAGGUGAAGGAACAUCCUCGUAGCUCACAGAGGAAACCACAAAUCCAUGGCAUCUUCAUUAAGGUUUUGAGGAUUUAACCUUGGAAGUGUCCAUGAGAGGCCAAGGAAAAUAAUGAAUUAACUUAGAUCUUGGAGUCCAGGGAGAGCUGAGCUGGAUUAGGAUUGAUUUAGGAUGGACUCGUGCUGCAGCAAUGGGAAUGGAACAGAUUUAGGGAUGGUGAUUCCACUGCUCCAGUGCCUGACCAACCUUUCCAGGAAGACAUUUUUCCUGAUAUCCAACCUAAACUUCCUCUGGAGCAACCUGAGAAACAGCUGGAAGAACACUGGAUCAAGGCUCUCCAGGAAGACACGUGGAUAUAUCUGAUGCAGACAGAAGAACAAGGGACUGUGAGGGAUUGUCAUUCAGAUCUGCAGUGUCACCAGUCUGAGAGAGAGGAGCCCAACGGGGUGAAAACAAACCUUCAGCUGC